rnacentral:rRNA from 1 species
CUUGGCGACCAUAGCGCUUUGGACCCACCUGAUUCCAUGCCGAACUCAGUAGUGAAACGAAGCAGUAGUGAAACGAAGCAGCGCCGAUGGUAGUGUGGGGUCUCCCCAUGUGAGAGUAGGACAUCGCCAGGC